rnacentral:rRNA from 1 species
GCUACUACCGAUUGGAUGGUUUAGUGAAAUCCUCGGAUCGGUCCCGGAGGAUUGGGAGACCGGUCUCCCGGUGUCGCUGAGAAGACGAUUAAACUUGAUCAUCUAGAGGAAGUAAAAGUCGUAACAAGGUUUCCGUAGGUG